UUUUUUUAAUAUAAUGAAGCAAUCUCUAUGAUAGUGCUUUGGAUGAAGCCAGUAUUAUUUCUAGACUUCCAACACUGAUCAUCACAUGUGGUAAACUUGAGUCUCAUUUAUAUGAAAGAGCUUCUUUAGCAGAGUUUUAUGCAUUGCAGCGGCAUGCCAUGAAUUCAAGCAGCGGUUUCUGACAAUUCACUUCAACCUGCCCACUCAGUUCUUACUGGAGACUGAAGAAAACAGAGCAGAG